rnacentral:rRNA from 1 species
GUCCACGCCCUAAACGAUGUCAACUGGUUGUUGGACGGCUUGCUGUUCAGUAACGAAGCUAACGCGUGAAGUUGACCGCCUGGGGAGUACUGCCGCAAGGUUGAAACUCAAAGGAAUUGACGGGGACCCCGCACAAGCGGUGGAUGAUGUGGUUUAAUUCGAUGCAACGCGAAAACCUUACCUACCCUUGACAUGUCUGGAAUUUUGCAGAGAUGUGAAAGUGCUCGAAAGAGAACCAGAACACAGGUGCUGCAUGGCCGUCGU